rnacentral:lncRNA from 1 species
AAGCAUUGAUUGCAUCUGAAGGCAAAUUUGUUGUAAAGAUAAAUAGCAUGAAUAAGUGUGAUCACAUCCACAAAUAUCUAUGAUAUAACACCACCAAGGGUAGCAAGAGUUUAUCAUGUUCUAGUUGUAGUUCUAGCUAAUGAGAAAGCACAUCAUGCAUCUCAUCCAAAUCAAUCUUUAAACUACUACUACCUCCAGUCAACCUCCUGAAAACCCCCACCCUACACGACGCAGACAGUUUAAGGGCACGAACACAGGUGAAUAUGUCUAGCUAUCAUGAAGGAUCGACAUACUAGAUCAAAUAACCAUGAUUACAUAAAGCAUGCUAUGUAGUCUAAACUAGCAUGAGACAACGAGUCACUAAUAGAUCAAGUGACAUGAAAAACAUUGCUCAUAUAAUAGACAUAUUUAGAUCAUCACCUCCGAGUACCUACCAUCUAUGAUC